GAGUGAACAGUAAACAAGCAAAGUAGCCAGCCAAGAGCAAACAACAACUUAACAAUGCUGAUAAGCACGACAGGAAAACAAACAUACAGAUGCCAAAGCACAAGCACCAAACUCGAACUGCUAGCAGCAUAUAAAAACCAGUGGAUUACGCCUGAAAACCCCUGCUUUAAACAUAGCUUGCACAGUAGAUACAAUACUUUUCGUAUUUUGAGGACUCUUGCUUGAAUUUCUGGACCAAUUAACGACUUCGUUGCAGUCACUUUCAAUGAUUAAAUCAUAAAAACCCUUCCAUCUCGUACCAAAAAGAAAGAAGGAAACAUAAGACAAGCUUACUUCACAGCUAAAAUUUCCGGAAGUAUGGGACUCGCGUGCCUUUGAGAAAGACAUUAGGAUAGAACCGUUGUCACAAUAUGCCCUCAAUGCCUACAGGUUCAGGGUUCCAACGCGCAGAACCAUCAACACUGAACUUUAGGCCUCAUAGAGGAGGCUUCCAGCUAAUUAUCAGCCUCAAUUUCUUCCUUUUAAUCACACUAAAUAACCUUGGGUCACGAUAAAUGUCCUCGAAGGAGAACUUGGUUUCAGGCCAUUUUUCAACAUUCGUAAUUUCGCAGUACCGAUGAGUUGUCUAACAUUAGCAACUUUUCCGUUGAAAAUGAUAUCGUUUCUGUGGAGCCAUAACCACCGAGACUCGACGAAGAAUGACAUCUUCCAUAAGCCAUCACAAGAGAGAAGAGGGGAGGCCUGCUGCCAUGUAACAAAAGGGUUCCACCGGAAAGACGCAUGAUACAUUCCACAAUUCGCAUGUGUUGCCAUACCUGCCAGGAGAAGUCGCAUCCAAAAAACCAAAUGUUGGACAGAUUCAGGCUCUUUGCUACAUAAACAUUAUAGAAUUUGAUACUCAUAAUAUAUAAUGUUAGUAAAAAGGGUAAGAUAAGGCAUAUGUCUCCGUAUUUUUGUUUUUAGUAUUUACCUUGUGGAUUAUAUUGGCGUGAUUCGUAUAUUUUAUUAUAAAUGAAAGAUUGAGUUCAAAUAGAUAACGAGUCAAAAGUGGUGUGUUCGGUAUACAAUUUCUUAAUGAUGUAGCAUCAUUCCACAAUAGUGAAAUUCAUAUCCCAAUAAAGGGUAAAUAAUAUCCUCAUUAACAUUACAUAAUUAAUGAAAAAGAAAUGUGUCCAUGGAUCAUUUAUCAUAAGGUAAAUGAUUUAAUUACUAUGUGUUAGUAAUUAACUUUUUACAUAUCAAAAUAUGUAAUGAAAAUCAUAAGAUAAAAUAGGAUUAUAUUAGAAGAACAAAUUUUAUCCUAAAGAGAUUAAUAAUAUCUUAUAAAGGUCACACACUUAUGACAAUAUCAUCAGACGAACACUUAAUAAAGUAACUUUCGUAAUGAUAUAUAAUAAAAGAGAGUUCAAUCAUGAUACUAUAGUGAAAUGAAUUCAUGAUUAAAUAAAUUGUAAUUAAUAAGCGAAGAAUCGAAACUUAAUUACAAAUUAUUUGAGCCCUAAUUAUAUAUGUACACUCGAUCCCUCCACCAUAUUGAGAUAACCUGAAAGGAAUUGCAUGUAGAACCAACAGACUAUGGAAUGAAUGAAAAUAAUAAGUAAAAGAAAUAGAUUGUAUGUAUCACUAUUUGUAGUGAGUAAGUUUUUUCUCUAAAUACAAAAGAUGACUUAGAAAAUAAUUUAAUUUCUUUAAAUUAUAAUUUAAUUUAUUCUAAUUAAAUAAUUAAAGUUCGCAGUAAUAAUUAAAUUAAUUAGUCAUCAUGGAUUUGUUGAAUAAGACAAUUACAUUAAUUUCUGUAUGGAUUCUAAUGCGGUAAAGUUGUCAUAACUUAAACGAAAUUAAAAUUUGAUUGAGAAAAUAAUUUAAUUAAUUUAAUUUAAUUAACUAAUUUUUUGGUCAUUAAAUUAAUUAUUAAAUAAUAUUUUGAGUACUAGAAAAUAGUUAUGGGAUUGGAUAAAUUAGAAGUGUUGGAUAAAAGUUCGAAUAACACAUAUAAAUGUAUCUAAUACAUGAAAGGCUUAAUAAGAUUUGGUUACUUUAUAGGGGUGACAAACCCUAGUAUUUAUUAAGGAUGUCGUCGCUCCUUGUGCUCUAGUUCUAUUGGAACAUUGUAUUUUCUAUUAAAAUAUUAUUAUUUAAUUAAAACUUUAUUCAAACAGAACUCGGGAACCAAUUCUCUAUAAAUAAUAACUAUGAGUUAACCUACUAACACAUAUCUUUUGAUCACCAAUAUUCUGCCAAAAAAUAAUGACAAUUUAUUUUAAGAAUAAAUUAUAUUUUUUGCAAGAAUACUCAUAGUUUUCAACUUAUAGACAGAAUCAACUUACUUACUGAAAGUUAUGUAAAUUUUUCGCACCCAUUUGAUUAUUUGAACCCACACUCAAAGUAAUUUGGGGUUCGAGGAUAGUCGGAAAAAUUAAUCAGUUGAAAAUCAAGAAACAACCAAGACAAUCUUUGUACAAAACACAUGUAUAAUUUCAGUUAAAGUUUAUUACUAUAAAUAUUAGAAUAGAUUAGUUUUUAAGAAAAAUUUUAAACUUCCAUUGUGCCUAAAAACACUGUUUUCUAACAGGCAUUGUUUUAUCAUGGUGUUCGACAAAAUAGACAUUAGUUACCUCUUCAAAUCGUGCAAAAAUAUUUACAAUUCACUAGGCAAGUCGAAAGUGUGUUUGACUAAAGUUGACCAACAUAUCUAGAAGAUUUGUAAUUUGUCUCCACAAGAACAUAUGUCAGCUAUCUUACGUAGAGAUAAUGCAACAUGUAUAUAACUCAAUUGAAAGGUGGUUAAAUAAAAGGUGACAAAAAAAAAAACAUGUUUCACCAAAAGUUUAACAUACUCGUUCAAGUGAUAAUUUGACAAAUCUUUUUACUAAAGUAUUGCCAACUACAACAUUUGAAAUACUAGUAUACAAGAUUGGAAUGCUUCAGCUAAAAAAUUUAAUGUGAUGUUGCCAUUAGUUUAAAACAAAUUGUACUAUUUUCCUUUAACCAAAGUUUGUUCCCUAAGUUUUCCUAGUAAAAGUUCUUAAUGAGGUUCCUUGUAAUAGGAGAUUAAUGUGAUGUUGCCAUUAACGGGAAUCUAAAACGUAGUGUGUACUAUUUUCACUUAACCAAGAUUUUGUUUCAUUAUGUUUUCCUAAAUAAGGUUUUUAAUGAGGCAAUUAUCCCACAAGGUUUUUCAUAAUAAUGUUUUAAUAAGGCAUAUUGUGAAGUGUUGUAAAUCCUUUAAUGAAUGGAUGUUCAUACAACUCCCAAUCCCCAAGAAAUUAUUCUCUUAAAACCCCUAAAAAAUUUAUAGGAUGCCUUAAUUCUUCUAUUUAUUUUUUGUAACCUAUGGUGAUUGAGACCAUAAUAGUGGGCAUGUAUAAACAUAUUGUAUUCCAAGAAAAAAAAAACUAAAUUAUCCUUUCAUUUUUGUUUGCUCUGCUCUCUUAUUUUUAAUAUAAUUCUCUUAGUUUAAAGGAUCGAGUGAAGAAGAAGAUAGAUAGUUGGAGCUCUAGAUUUCUUUUACAAUGGGUAAGGAGGUAUUCAUAAAAUCAAUGCUUCAAGCCAUACCAACUUAUACAAUGGCUUGCUUCCUUUUGCCAAAAUCUUUGUGGGGAAUAAGAGCAUAGUGGCUAGGUUUUUGUGGCAAAAAGCUCAUAGGAGGCAAUGAUUGCAUUGGUGUGAAUGGGAAAACUUUGUGAGCUGAAGGAGAAUGGGGACUUGGGCUUUAGGAGUUUCGACAAAUUUAAUGUGGCUCUUUUAACAAAACAAUGGUAGAAACUUAUUAAUCAUCCUGAUUCUUUAUUAGCCUAGGUUUUAAAAGCAAAGUAUUAUCCUCAAAUCGAAUUUUUAAAUGCAAGUUUAAAGCAUAGGGCAUCAUAUACUUGGAAGAGUAUUUGGUCGGCAUAGACGUAUCUUCAGAAUGGAUUGUGUAGGAGAGUGGGAACAGAAGAAAAAUUUUCUAUUUUUAAUCAUGCAUGGUUCGGUUGAUUAUAAAUUGAGCAGCAUGGUUCGUGAUAAUAACGUAUUGAGAGUUGUUGAUUUAAUUGAUAAUGCUAAUAGAGAAUGGCGGCGAGAGGUUAUUACCGAUACUUUCUCUGAUGUUGAUGCGGCCAAGAUACUUCGAAUCCCGUUGGCGAAAGAACCACACGAGGAUGUGAUGGAGUGGAGAUGCAAACCCUCAUGAGAGUUCUCCGUUCGGAGCACCUACAAACUAUUACAAUAUGGUAUUCCUACUCCUAGGGGUGAGCAUUCGAUCGAAUCAAAUCGAAUAAAAAAUUUUCGAGUUAAUCAAGUUUUCGAAUCUCAUUUUAUCAUCCAAACUUUAUUUGAAGUUUUCUCGAAUUGAGUCGAGUGAGAUGGAAUUCGAAUCGAGUCAAAUAUAUUUGUUCGAGUUAAAUUUUAAAAAAUAAUUUUGAGUCUUUGUAACCAUUGUCACCCAUCGUAAUAAAAUUUGUCCACCUUAAUCAAAUUUUUUAUUAACUUUCAUCACUUCAUAAUUUAUUUAUUAAUUUUUUAUAUACUGAUUAGCUUAUUUGUUUGCUUAGUUGUUUCAAUUAUCUUCAGAUUCUUGUCACCAUGUAUUUUGAAAUUAAAAAUUAUAUUAAAUAUAAAAAUAUGAUUUUUUUAAUAAAAUUUAUUUUAAAAAUAAAAUGUAAAAUUGAUACCAAUAUAAAAUUUUAAAACGAAUAUUUUAUGGCAUAAUUAAGAAUUCAAUUUUAAUAUAAAUAUUCAAU
rnacentral:lncRNA from 1 species